AUCUUCGCUUGAUUAUGCGGUAUGCCCUUACAGGAAUAUCCCCAUCUACGUGCCAAUUUGCAUGACGUUUCGCCACCUUCCACGCCCGUGUUCAUCGGUAGCCACUUAUCAUAUCUAAGGUUUCAAAGGUAGCACAUUACAUACCCGAAAAGUUUCGUAAUAUAUUCUUCGAAUUCACCCAAAAUGUCGGAAUAAAACGCUCUAGACGUCAGAGUUAAAGUCUUCGCUUGAUCGAUCAUCGCUUUGUAAAUUCUUGGAUGGCAAUGACCUUGAUUAACCGCCGAAUAAGCACUUAGAAAGUCAAAGUACCGUUUACCCUCGACAUCCCACAUGAAAACACCCUGAGCUUUGCACAGAGCCACAGGAAGUGGAUGAUAUCACUGGAUUAUGAUGUUGGAAUCUUUAACUCACUGUCACUAUAACGACACGUACACGAACCAACUUACCGCAGUAACUUUGGCGUAUAAAUGUGUGUUCUUCUUCUGCUUCUAGUUCAAGUUUUAUUUAUCUUAAUCGUGCUACAGAAUGUACUAAAGGAUAACAUCAUACUAUAUACCUCUCGCUUACAUGUACGUCAAUACAAGUUCUAUUACUUUCCCACCGAUACAUCUGUCCUUGUCGUGCAUAUUAUCGCCGAUAAGAGCAAUACAUUCUUAUAUAAUACGCUCAAUAUAUAUGUAUAUAUAAGGCGACUUUUAUACAGAAUAAAUAAA